ensembl:snRNA LOC120094986 U6 spliceosomal RNA
GUGCUUGAUUUGUCUGUACAUAUACUAAAUUUUGAACAAUACAGAGAUUAGCAUGGCCCCUGUGCGAGGAUGACACACAAAUUUAUGAAAGAUUCCAUAUUUUA